GGAAGUAAAAGUCGUAACAAGGUUUCCGUAGGUGAACCUGCGGAAGGAUCAUUCAUAAUAAGUGUUUUAUGGCACUUUUUAAAUCCAUAUCCACCUUGUGUGCAAUGUCAGUCGAUCUUCUUCAUGGAGAUCGACCAAACAUCAACCUUUAUUUUUUUAACUCUUUGUCUGAAAAAUAUUAUGAAUAAACAAUUCAAAAUACAACUUUCAACAACGGAUCUCUUGGCUCUCGCAUCGAUGAAGAACGCAGCGAAAUGCGAUACGUAAUGUGAAUUGCAGAAUUCAGUGAAUCAUCGAAUCUUUGAACGCAUAUUGCGCUCUUUGGUAUUCCGAAGAGCAUGCUUGUUUGAGUAUCAGUAAACACCUCAAAGCUUUUGGAUUUUUUAAUCGAAAAGCUUUGGACUUGAGCAAUCCCAACACCAAUCUUUUUGAGAUCGGUGGCGGGUUGCUUGAAAUGCAGGUGCAGCUGGACAUUCUCCUGAGCUAAAAGCAUAUUCAUUUAGUCCCGUCAAACGGAUUAUUACUUUUGCUGCAGCUAACAUAAAGGGAGUUUGACCGUAUUGGCUGACUGAUGCAGGAUUUCACAAGGGUCGGCAACGAUUCUUGUUAAACUCGAUCUCAAAUCAAGUAAGACUACCCGCUGAACUUAAGCAUAUCA
rnacentral:rRNA from 1 species